rnacentral:tRNA from 1 species
GCCGAAAUAGCUCAGUUCGGAGAGCGUUAGACUGAAGAUUUUUAAAUGUCCACGGUUCAAUCCCAGGUUUCGGCC